UUAGAGUGUGAUCCUGGCUCAGGAUGAACGCUAGCUACAGGCUUAACACAUGCAAGUCGAGCGGUAUGUGCUUUAGUGCAUACAGCGGCAGACGGGUGAGCAACACGUAUCUAACCUUCCCCUUACUUGGGCAUAGCCUCUGGAAACGGAGAUUAAUUUCCGAUGUGGUGUACAUUUCGCAUGUUUUGCGCACCAAAGAUUUAUCGGUAAGGGAUGGGGAUGCGCUCCAUUAGGUUGUAGGUAGGGUAAUGGCCUACCUAGCCUAUGAUGGAUAGGGGUUCUGAGAGGAAGGUCCCCCACAUUGGAACUGCGACACGGUCCAAACUCCUACGGGAGGCAGCAGUGAGGAAUAUUGGUCAAUGGCCGGAAGGCUGAACCAGCCAAGUAGCGUGCAGGAUGACUGCCUUAUGGGUUGUAAACUGCUUUUUUACGGGAAUAAUUAUGAUCACGUGUGAUUAUUUGCAUGUACCGUAAGAAUAAGGAUCGGCUAACUCCGUGCCAGCAGCCGCGGUAAUACGGAGGAUCCUAGUGUUAUCCGGAUUUAUUGGGUUUAAAGGGUGCGUAGGCGGAAAUGUAAGUCAGUGGUGAAAUCCUGCAGCUUAACUGUAGAAUAGCCGUUGAAACUGUGUUUCUUGAGUACAUUUGAGGUAGGCGGAAUGUGGUGUGUAGCGGUGAAAUGCAUAGAUAUACCACAGAACACCGAUUGCGAAGGCAGCUUACUAAACUGUCACUGACGCUGAUGCACGAAAGCGUGGGUAUCAAACAGGAUUAGAUACCCUGGUAGUCCACGCUGUAAAACGAUGAUUACUGGUUGUUUGCGAUACACUGCAAGUGACUGAGCGAAAGCAUUAAGUAAUCCACCUGGGGAGUACGUCGGCAACGAUGAAACUCAAAGGAAUUGACGGGGGCCCGCACAAGCGGAGGAACAUGUGGUUUAAUUCGAUGAUACGCGAGGAACCUUACCUGGGUUUAAAUGGGGAGUGACAGGCUUGGAAACAGGCCCUUCUUCGGACACUCUUCAAGGUGCUGCAUGGUUGUCGUCAGCUCGUGCCGUGAGGUGUCGGGUUAAGUCCCAUAACGAGCGCAACCCUUAUUGUUAGUUGCCAUCAUUAAGUUGGGCACUCUAGCGAGACUGCCCGGGUUAACCGGGAGGAAGGUGGGGAUGACGUCAAAUCAUCAUGCCCCUUAUGUCUAGGGCUACACACGUGCUACAAUGGUCGGUACAAUAAGACGCAAGCCCGCGAGGGGGAGCAAAACUGGAAAACCGAUCUCAGUUCGGAUUGUAGGCUGAAACUCGCCUACAUGAAGCUGGAGUUGCUAGUAAUCGCGAAUCAGCAUGUCGCGGUGAAUAAAAGGCCGGGCCUUGCACACACCGCCCGUCA
rnacentral:rRNA from 1 species